rnacentral:rRNA from 1 species
UACGAAGGGUGCAAGCGUUACUCGGAAUUACUGGGCGUAAAGGGUGCGCAGGCGGUUUUGUAAGCCAGAUGUGAAAUCCCCGGGCUCAACCUGGGAAUGGCAUUUGGGACUGCAAGGCUAGAGUGUGGCAGAGGAGACUGGAAUUCCCGGUGUAGCAGUGAAAUGCGUAGAUAUCGGGAGGAAUACCGAUGGCGAAGGCAGGUCUCUGGGCUGACACUGACGCUCAUGCACGAAAGCGUGGGGAGCAAACAGG